GGGUUUUGUGUGGAAAAACACCUUGGAGUGUGACAUUUCUGCGAGAAUGCUUAAAUACCGAUUUCCCGCAGGAACAAUGGCGCUGUCUUCAGUGGCACAGCGGAGCAGUUCUGUGAAGAUGCAAAGGUAAGAGCUUAGUUAAGCUUAGUUUCCAAACUAAAGGAGUAAACCUGUUGAUUUACAGGAAUAGGAACUGUUGCAUAGUUUGAAAUUUACUUUUUUUUGUUAGAUACACGAAAAAAAUUCCAGAACAUCUGGGAGAAUAUUUAAUGGAAAAUCGCUUGGUUAAAACCUGACACUUAACAGGUAUGUGUUGUUUUAGUACUUUAUGAUUGAGCAUAGCAUUUAAUCCACACCUAGACUAAACCGAAUUUUUUUUGUCAUUGAACAGCAUUCUGAGUGUGGACGAGUAGCCAGUGAAGAUAAUGAAUGUCGGAUGUCACUGACUAGCAGCUUCAUUUUGAAUGAGGGUCGCUGUCUGCCCAUUGA
rnacentral:sRNA from 1 species